AUGAACGCUAGCUACAGGCUUAACACAUGCAAGUCGAGGGGCAGCAUGAACUUAGCUUGCUAAGUUUGAUGGCGACCGGCGCACGGGUGAGUAACACGUAUCCAACCUGCCGAUGACUCGGGGAUAGCCUUUCGAAAGAAAGAUUAAUACCCGAUGGCAUAGUUCUUCCGCAUGGUGGAACUAUUAAAGAAUUUCGGUCAUCGAUGGGGAUGCGUUCCAUUAGGUUGUUGGCGGGGUAACGGCCCACCAAGCCUUCGAUGGAUAGGGGUUCUGAGAGGAAGGUCCCCCACAUUGGAACUGAGACACGGUCCAAACUCCUACGGGAGGCAGCAGUGAGGAAUAUUGGUCAAUGGACGAGAGUCUGAACCAGCCAAGUAGCGUGAAGGAUGACUGCCCUAUGGGUUGUAAACUUCUUUUAUACGGGAAUAAAGUGAGGCACGUGUGCCUUUUUGUAUGUACCGUAUGAAUAAGGAUCGGCUAACUCCGUGCCAGCAGCCGCGGUAAUACGGAGGAUCCGAGCGUUAUCCGGAUUUAUUGGGUUUAAAGGGAGCGUAGGCGGACGCUUAAGUCAGUUGUGAAAGUUUGCGGCUCAACCGUAAAAUUGCAGUUGAUACUGGGUGUCUUGAGUACAGUAGAGGCAGGCGGAAUUCGUGGUGUAGCGGUGAAAUGCUUAGAUAUCACGAAGAACUCCGAUUGCGAAGGCAGCCUGCUGGACUGUAACUGACGCUGAUGCUCGAAAGUGUGGGUAUCAAACAGGAUUAGAUACCCUGGUAGUCCACGCCGUAAACGAUGAAUACUAGGUGUUGGGAAGCAUUGCUUCUCGGUGCCGUCGCAAACGCAGUAAGUAUUCCGCCUGGGGAGUACGUUCGCAAGAAUGAAACUCAAAGGAAUUGACGGGGGCCCGCACAAGCGGAGGAACAUGUGGUUUAAUUCGAUGAUACGCGAGGAACCUUACCCGGGCUUGAAUUGCAACUGAAUGAUGUGGAGACAUGUCAGCCGCAAGGCAGUUGUGAAGGUGCUGCAUGGUUGUCGUCAGCUCGUGCCGUGAGGUGUCGGCUCAAGUGCCAUAACGAGCGCAACCCUUAUCGAUAGUUACCAUCAGGUGAUGCUGGGGACUCUGUCGAGACUGCCGUCGUAAGAUGUGAGGAAGGUGGGGAUGACGUCAAAUCAGCACGGCCCUUACGUCCGGGGCUACACACGUGUUACAAUGGGGGGUACAGAAGGCAGCUACACGGCGACGUGAUGCUAAUCCCUAAAGCCUCUCUCAGUUCGGAUUGGAGUCUGCAACCCGACUCCAUGAAGCUGGAUUCGCUAGUAAUCGCGCAUCAGCCACGGCGCGGUGAAUACGUUCCCGGGCCUUGUACACACCGCCCGUCAAGCCAUGAAAGCCGGGGGUACCUGAAGUGCGUAACCGCAAGGAGCGCCCUAGGGUAAAACUGGUGAUUGGGGCU
rnacentral:rRNA from 1 species